UACGUAGGGUGCAAGCGUUAAUCGGAAUUACUGGGCGUAAAGCGUGCGCAGGCGGUUAUGUAAGACAGUUGUGAAAUCCCCGGGCUCAACCUGGGAACUGCAUCUGUGACUGCAUAGCUAGAGUACGGUAGAGGGGGAUGGAAUUCCGCGUGUAGCAGUGAAAUGCGUAGAUAUGCGGAGGAACACCGAUGGCGAAGGCAAUCCCCUGGACCUGUACU
rnacentral:rRNA from 1 species